GCCAUGCGAGUCAUUGUAGCAAUACAAGGCAGACGGCUCAGUAACGCGUAGUCAAUCUACCCUAUGGACGGGAAUAACCUCGGGAAACUGAGAAUAAUGCCCGAUAGAACAUUAUACCUGGAACGGUUUAUGUUUCAAAUGAUUUAUCGCCGUAGGAUGGGACUGCGGCCUAUCAGUUUGUUGGUGAGGUAAUGGCCCACCAAGACUAUUACAGGUACGGGCUCUGAGAGGAGUAGCCCGGAGAUGGGUACUGAGACACGGACCCAGGCCCUAUGGGGCGCAGCAGGCGAGAAAACUUUGCAAUGUGCGAAAGCACGACAAGGUUAAUCCGAGUGGUUUCUGCUAAAGAAACCUUUUGCUAGUCCUAGAAACACUAGUGAAUAAGGGGUGGGCAAGUUCUGGUGUCAGCCGCCGCGGUAAAACCAGCACCUCAAGUGGUCAGGAUGAUUAUUGGGCCUAAAGCAUCCGUAGCUUGUUUUGUAAGUUUUCGGUUAAAUCCAUACGCUCAACGUAUGGGCUGCCGGGAAUACUGCAUAACUAGGAAGUGGGAGAGGUAGACGGUACUCGGUAGGAAGGGGUAAAAUCCUUUGAUCUAUUGAUGACCACCUGUGGCGAAGGCGGUCUACCAGAACACGUUCGACGGUGAGGGAUGAAAGCUGGGGGAGCAAACCGGAUUAGAUACCCGGGUAGUCCCAGCUGUAAACUAUGCAAACUCAGUGAUGCAUUGGCUUGUGGCCAAUGCAGUGCUGCAGGGAAGCCGUUAAGUUUGCCACCUGGGAAGUACGUACGCAAGUAUGAAACUUAA
rnacentral:rRNA from 1 species